rnacentral:rRNA from 1 species
GAUAAACGCUGGCGGCGCACAUAAGACAUGCAAGUCGAACGAACUUAAUACCUUGCUUGCAAGGUAAGCGGUUAGUGGCGGACUGGUGAGUAACACGUAAGGAACCUGCCUAUUAGAGAGGAAUACCAGUGAGAAAUCACUGCUAAUACCUCAUAUGCCUUAUUUAUCGCAUGAUAGAAGAGGGAAAGGAGCAAUCCACUAAUAGAUGGUCUUGCGUCUGAUUAACUAGUUGGUGAGAUAAAAGCCCACCAAGGUAACGAUCAGUAGCCGAACUGAGAGGUUGAACGGCCACAUUGGGACUGAGAUACGGCCCAG